AUUCAGCUGACGAAUCCCAAAUAGAACGAAACAUGCGUCCUGGAU
rnacentral:hammerhead_ribozyme from 1 species